UGUUCAAGUGGGAACUUGCUGAG
rnacentral:piRNA from 1 species